rnacentral:misc_RNA from 1 species
GGUUUUCAAAAAUGUUUGGGUUGUUGGGGGUGGGGGGCAGGAGAAGCAGCCACCCCCAGCCCACCAGAGAUUCGUCUGAUGUGGUCUUGGAUUACAGAUCGUGUCGUUGGAUAAAGGCAAACAAAAUGGGAUUUGGAUUUAUUCUUUCCCCUACCUAUUAUGCCUAACUGUGAGCUCUCUGACAGAGCUCUAACCUUGCAAACUCAAUGAGGGAGCUAGCAACCUUUGCAAAAGAAAAAAAAUUAUGAUAUGAAAUUUUCCACACUUUACUCAGAUUGGAAAUAUAGGUAUACAUGUUGGAAGAACAUAAUUAAAAACUAGAAGUUAUACAGGAUUGGCUUAAUCUACUACUAUAAUUCUGGGAUUGAAAACAAUAAAUUACUGGUAAAGUUUUGUGAUUACGGAACCCAUUAUCCUGCAUAAUAUCUUCCCUGAUCACGUUUGUUUUCCUAUUCCAUUGAGCCGACUUGCUUUCCCUACUUUAUUUAGUUGGACAUCCAGCAUCUUUCCACUUGGUCAUCCAACCUCCUCUCACUUGGUCAUCUGACCUCCUUUUUCUCGGUUGACCUCGCUUCAAGCCCAUCGAUUAGUCUCCCUUGCUAGGUCUGUAUUAAACCUCCUUCCGGUCAAUCAUCCAACCUCCUUUCACUUGGUUGACCUCCUUUCAGCUCAGUUGAUCGGUCUCCCAUGCUAGGUCUAUAUCGCCACCACAAUUUCAGUGGCACAAAUUGUGAGGGGAAUGAAAUUUUGGAGAAAGAUCUUAUUAGAUUGCCUCUUUUUUGAAUGAGGUUGUUUUUGCUAUACCUUAACUUUUUGUACAUCAUUAAAUUAGGAGUCAAAAAAAAAAAAGAUGAUUAAGUUAGCUAGUUCUUGUUCAUUGUUCAACUAUGAAUUGGGAUUUGGGAGCAUUAAAGUUUUCUUAAUUUCACAGACAUUGUACACCAAGUUGUAUAUGUUAUUUUGGUAAUUUUUUCCUUAAUGCUGUUUUUUCUUUAUUUUCAAACUUUUGACAUGUGAUAUUCACGUAUGCUUCUUGAGUGAGUGUCAAUUGUACAUGUUAAUUCCAAUCCAUAAUUAAACGAAACAACAAAAUAAUAUUAUUUAGUGAAAAUGUGAAAGAAAUGAUUUAGAAGGAAGCUUCUUGAAGCUUGCAGAUGCAUGGACAUGGCCACUUCUUGGAAAACCGAGCAUUGUAUGGCUACAUAAGGAGUCAUUUGCAUGGCUCAAAGAGCAGGAAGUUCUCAAGAUUGAGUUGAUCAAGCGAGGGGAAAGAAGGUAGCUGAUGCACUCACGAAUACCAUAUCUUCACUAAACAAAUUUGAGCUGGGUGUGAAGGACUGCCUUUAAGUUUGGUCAAUUACUUUAUUUAAUCCCAGAAUCAAAGUAAAACUUUCAGGCGUAUGCUGUGCUUGAAGAUCUUGCAAAAGCUUCUUCCCCCCACACAACCCCCCCAACCCCCCUCUCCCUCUCUCUUGUUGUGCGUGUUUCCACACUAUUUUGCCCAAUUUUAGUACAGGCAGGGUACCUGUAUUUUAGGGUCUGAUUGGAAUGAAGUCUAGUUCAGGUUUAGCUCUUAUGUUAUGUGCAGUUUUCUUUUCCUUAGUUUGUUGCAUUAGGUUCUUACAUAUGCAAAUUGUGGAAUUUGUGACAUAAACACGGAAAGCUUGCUCUCUCUCUCUCUCUCUCUC